UACGAAGGGUGCAAGCGUUACUCGGAAUUACUGGGCGUAAAGCGUGCGUAGGUGGUUUGUUAAGUCUGUUGUGAAAGCCCCGGGCUCAACCUGGGAAUGGCAAUGGAUACUGGCAGGCUAGAGUGCGGUAGAGGGUAGUGGAAUUCCCGGUGUAGCGGUGAAAUGCGUAGAUAUCGGAAGGAACACCUGUGGCGAAAGCGGCUCACUGGACCAUAACUGACGCUGAGGCACGAAAGCUAGGGGAGCAAACAGG
rnacentral:rRNA from 1 species